rnacentral:rRNA from 1 species
UUUCGCAAUGCCCGAAAGGGUGACGAAGCGACGCCGCGUGUGGGAAGAAGGCCUUCGGGUUGUAAACCACUGUCGGGAGUUAAGAAAUGCAAGAAUGUUAAUAGCGUUUUUGCUUGACUAAGGCUCCGGAGGAAGCCACGGCUAACUCUGUGCCAGCAGCCGCGGUAAUACAGAGGCGGCAAGCGUUGUUCGGAAUUAUUGGGCGUAAAGAGCACGUAGGCGGCUAUAUAAGUCGGUUGUGAAAGCCUUCCGCUCAACGGGAGAACAGCAUCCGAUACUGUGUGGCUUGAGUGUGGGAGGGGAGAGCGGAACUUCUGGUGGAGCGGUGAAAUGCGUAGAUAUCAGAAGGAACGCCGGCGGCGAAAGCGGCUCUCUGGCCCAUAACUGACGUUGAGUGUGCGAAAGCUAGGGGAGCAAACGGGAUUAGAUACCCCGGUAGUCCUAGCCGUAAACGAUGGGCACUAAGUAGAGGGGUUUU